UAUAUUUUUCGUGUUGAUGAGAAUAGAAUCACGAGUCUCUACCGCAGGAUCCAGGUGUAAUGUUAUGUAUGGAUUCCAAACUAUCUAUGUUGCAGCCUGCACUUAUAUGCAUGUAUUUCAAGCUAGUAUAAUGUUAGGUAUGAUCCCAAACUAUCUUCCCUUUUAAGUAUGUAUCCCGCCCAAACUAGUAUAAUGUUUGUAUGGAUUCCAAACUAUCUAUGUUGCAGCCUGCGCCUAUAUAUAUGUGUUCCAAACUAGUAUUAUGGAUUCAAAACUAUUUAUGUUGCAUCCUUGCACUUGUAUGUCAAUAAUGACGUGGUUUACGUUCGUUGAAGCAUUUAGAGCAUAGUUUG
rnacentral:lncRNA from 1 species